rnacentral:rRNA from 1 species
UCCUGGCUCAGAUUGAACGCUGGCGGCAUGCUUUACACAUGCAAGUCGAACGGCAGCACGGGUGCUUGCACCUGGUGGCGAGUGGCGGACGGGUGAGUAAUACAUCGGAACGUAUCCUAAAGUGGGGGAUAACGCAUCGAAAGAUGUGCUAAUACCGCAUACACUCUGAGGAGGAAAGUAGGGGAUCGAAAGACCUUAUGCUUUUGGAGCGGCCGAUGUCUGAUUAGCUAGUUGGUAAGGUAAUGGCUUACCAAGGCAACGAUCAGUAGUUGGUCUGAGAGGACGACCAGCCACACUGGGACUGAGACACGGCCCAGACUCCUACGGGAGGCAGCAGUGGGGAAUUUUGGACAAUGGGCGCAAGCCUGAUCCAGCAAUGCCGCGUGAGUGAAGAAGGCCUCGG